rnacentral:misc_RNA from 1 species
AUGCGAUAAGUAAUGUGAAUUGCAGAAUUCAGUGAAUCAUCGAAUCUUUGAACGCACCUUGCGCUCCUUGGUAUUCCGAGGAGCAUGCCUGUUUGAGUGUCAUUAAAUUCUCAAUCCUUUCUGGGCUUUAUUCUCAGUUGGGCUUGGAUAUGGGGGACUGUUGCUGGCUUUGCAAAAAGUCAGCUCUCCUUAAAAUUAUUAGCAGGACAUUUGUUGCAACCUUCUAUCUGGUGUGAUAGUUAUCUACAUCAUAGAUUAUGUGCAGUUUAUUAUGUCUGGCUUCUAACAGUCCAAUUAACUUGGACAACACUCUGAUAAUUUGACCUCAAAUCAGGUAGGACUACCCGCUGAACUUAA